CUAGGAAGGAGGAAGGAUUGGUGUCAUAGAAAACACUGGGUUUCCUGGGCAGCAGACCAUGUUGGGGCUUCAGGGCAGAGCUUCACUCAGAUGCUGUGGGUUGAGAAUGACAUGGGUGCACGCCAGUGGGUCUCUAGCACCAGCUCUGUCAGACCCAUGGGGGUUGUUCAGUGAAUGGUGGUAGACGGCUGAAUGGAUGCUGAGAGCUACCUUUGAAGACUAGAAUUAAGGCCCUAGUUUGAUACCCCACUUACUCUUGGCUCAGGAAUCUAAUUUCUUUACUACAGUAAGUUUUCUUGGGCUUUUUGGUGAUGGUUUGGACAGCUCUUUUAACCUGCUGUUGUACUUAUCACUUGUGCUGAUUAAGGCAGUUGGGGUUUUCACAGAGGUAGUGUCAAGGGAGCUUCUGAAUUCCCUUAGGUAAAUGGUUGCCCUUCCAACAAAAUUAGACCUCGCUUCAGUAAUUUAUUUUCUGUUUCCCAGGUGGCUGACCCAGUUGUCACGUUUUGUGAGACGGUGGUGGAAACAUCCUCCCUCAAGUGUUUUGCUGAAACGCCUAAUAAGAAGAACAAGAUCACCAUGAUUGCUGAGCCUCU
rnacentral:sRNA from 1 species